AAGAAAGUGGCAGAGUGAUUAUGUAAUUGGCUUGAAACUAAUUUAUGGGGGUUUAAUUCCUUCCUUUCUUG